rnacentral:tRNA from 3 species
GCGGGAAUAGCUCAGUUGGUAGAGCGUCAGCCUUCCAAGCUGAGGGUCGCGAGUUCGAGCCUCGUUUCCCGCUCCA